GUUAGUAUAUGUGCUUUGGCAUAUACUUAAAUUGGAAAGAUAUAGAGAAGUUUAUCACGGCCCCCACACAAGGGUGACACAUAAAUUCAUGAAGCGUUCCAUAUUUUU